ACACACACACACACAGGACGUCUGACCCCGCACACGAUCCGCUCGUUCGAUGUCAGUACCGAAUUUCUUUAGGCUACAGCAGCAUGCCGUCACGCGAUUGCUUCGAGCUCUGCUGAAAUCGUCCAGUGGAUAAGUGUUUGUUCUUUAACUUCUUUCUUACCUAAUUUCAUUCAAGGAGCGGCCGCUGAGAUGACUUGAGAGGCUAGUUGGUGUGUUUUUUCAGUGUGAGUGGAGUUUUAUUCUAUUUCGUAUAUUUUUUUUUUUGUGGUCUAUUAUGUACACUUUCGAGAGACGGAGCGAGGAAAUAAGAGGUUAACAAGCAUGCCUUUUUCUAGUUUAUGUUUUAUGAAAAAAUGCCGCCUUUAAAAUGGCUCUUCCUUGGUACUAUUCAAAUAUCCUAUAAUCAUGAUUUUAUAGGUGCAUAAUAAAUCAAAUUUCCAAAUUGAUAAAGAGAUCAAUAGUACUAAUGAUUUGUUUUAGAUCCUUGUCUUGUUCAUUGUGUUUACUGUAAUAUCAGGGAAUUUAAGAGUGCGAAUGCAACCCUACGCCUGGCAGCGGUGUUUUGCACAAACUUGCUAUAUUCAUAUAAAGAUCCUAUGGGAUAUUUUUGCUUGUUUGUACUUUUAUUUCUGGACGAAUAAUAUUAAUGUUUAUUCACCAUUGUUGUUAAGUUCGUGUUUAUAUGUUUAUUUUUCAAAUUCCCGCGCAGAUAAUAGUGGCAUGCAGUAGAGCACGGUCUUUUCAUCUCCCAAAUGCUGGCUAUGACAUUCAGCAAGAUAAAGCCUUACUAACAAGCAAACCGGCAGCGCGACAUGGCCCGCGAGUGGCUGCCGGGAGGCGGCGGCGAGGGUCCGCUUUCACCGUAGGCCUUUUGUUGUUGGCCUAGUUUUACGCUUCUCUUAACCUUUGUUAUUGGCCUGAGGAAGGUGGCCGGGGACACUGGGUCAUAUCAGGUCGAAAUAUGAAACCUGUUGGGCGGAAAGUAGGAUACUGAUAGGCCUAUAUGACGGAUCUUAUUGUUUAUUAACGGCGGAGUAACUGCGGGCCCCGGACAGUGCAAGGUUCGCUCAAGUGGCAGGCGAUCAGUCGUGCCUGGACUGUCAGGUGCCGCUGGCCGUCAGCUCGGGGCUCGAGCGCGAGGCUCUGUUGGACUUGUGUUAGUUCAGCGACAAUCUUCAGAGAUUUAAGAGCUUGAUUUACGUUCCUUUUUGGCUGCGAACGCGAUCGCCUCUCGGCACCUGGCUGCGGCUCCCUUUCCCCUCGCCGCAACCGCCUUCGGGCCGAGGGGGAACGCCCGUUGUCCGCCGCUGGAGCGCGUUGUGUUGCCUCCACGCGUCGGGGCAGAGGCAGGCAGCGGCGGGCAGGACAGCCUGUACCCUGCGCAGGUCAAGAUCGAUGUCGGGGCGGGGCUUGCGUAGUCCCCCCCGCGCGGCACCGCCUCCGCCGCCACACCACCGCUACCUCCUCGGCCGCUCGCACUACGCCUCCCGGACCCGGACUUGUUGAACGUGACGCCGCCGCCGCCGCCGCCUACGAACGCACGCUGCUGCCGCUGCUGCCCCGCCUUCGCCGCACCUGCUCGCCCCCUGCCACGUGCCUUCGCAGGUGCCCCACGUUCUCUCGUGCCCAAAGCCCGUCACGCCUCAACGCCAUUCCGUUGCAUUGUUCAAGGUUCGCGGUUGAAAAGGUUCAGUGUUGAAGCGCGAGUCAGGCGCUCGGGUGCCCAGGAUAGCUCGUCGGCGUCGCCAAAGUGGAUUCCCCAGCGGCGCCCAGGACCUCCCCCCCCGCCUCGCCCUCCAAGAGUGAGGCGACGGCAGGAGGAGGCAUGGCGACCUCCGAGGCCCCCCCGCAGCCUCCGCAGGGAGAGCUCCAGCCGCAGGAGGAGGAGGCCGCGACGCCCCACGACCGUCUCAUGUAAGCACAUCCUUGUGGAGCGCAUUCGCGCUGGGCGUCCCCGGCGCUAAUGUGCUGUCUCGUGUUUCGAGUCCAAUUCUGUGUGGGGAUACAGGAUGCAGGUUAGUGUGUCUGUGUGUGAGAA
rnacentral:lncRNA from 1 species